AUUGAACGCUGGCGGCAUGCUUUACACAUGCAAGUCGAACGGCAGCGGGGAGGAGCUUGCUUCUCUGCCGGCGAGUGGCGAACGGGUGAUUAAUACAUCGGAACGUGUCGAGAAGAGGGGGAUAACCACCCGAAAGGGUGGCUAAUACCGCAUAAAUUCUGAGGAAGAAAGCUGGGGACCUGGGAAUAGGCCUAGCGCUUUUUGAGCGGCCGAUGUCGGAUUAGCUAGUUGGUGAGGUAAAGGCUCACCAAGGCGAAGAUCUGUAGCGGGUCUGAGAGGAUGAUCCGCCACACUGGGACUGAGACACGGCCCAGACUCCUACGGGAGGCAGCAGUGGGGAAUUUUGGACAAUGGGGGCAACCCUGAUCCAGCCAUGCCGCGUGUAUGAAGAAGGCCUUAGGGUUGUAAAGUACUUUUGUUAGGGAAGAAAAGUCAGCUGUGAAUAAUGGCUGAUACUGACGGUACCUAAAGAAUAAGCACCGGCUAACUACGUG
rnacentral:rRNA from 1 species